rnacentral:rRNA from 1 species
UGAAGCUGCAUCAUCCAACACAGCGAGAUGAAAUACUCAGAAGAAAUUGCAGCAAGUGCGAUUGAUAGUCAGGGAAUUGAUUUGAUUCUGAAUCUUCCGUUCUUCGGAUUUGUCUGAAGUGGAACGGAUGGUCGUCACCUUUGACUAAGCUGCUGAGCCCAAGAACUUUGGCAGACUGGUGGCCUAGCUGUUCAACUUCUCAACACGGUUCAAUUUUGUCUUUGGUCAUCCUUGCAUACACUCGGCAGAGAAGUAUCUAUACUGAAUUUCUGCUCUAGUGUCAACGAACAGCGUGAGAUGAGAUAGCUGCAACGGUGGGGCCAAACAAUCCUAUGGCAGCAGCAAUAGUCAGCCCACAGUAAAUCUCUGUUAAGUGCUCCUUUCUCUUUACCUUUUUACUCCCGUGUCUCUGAUUUUGAUUUCAUAAUCUAUGUUUUUAGCUAGGCACCAUGUUUGCGGAUUUCAUAAAGAAGGGUAGAUGAAGAAGCUAUCAGAAGAUUUUGUUGAAUGAAACUUGCAUUCUGAUGUUACGAGUGUAGAAAUAUAUUCUGCAUUUUUAGGAAAUUAGAUAAUAGGACCGGCUAAGGCUAGCCAACUUGCCUCCAGAGGGCUCCCUCGCGCGCAGCCCUUUGUGGCCGUCUGAUCUGGCCUUCGGCGCGUCUGGAUCGUUGGAUAUUCCCCUUACGGUCAAAUCUUUUUCACCUCACGGGUGUUUUUCGUGUCCAAUGACGGGUGGGAUCGCCUCGAGCUCGCAUUGGCCGGGUCACUCUCGCGCAUGUGCGGGACGUUUUUGCCCAAUCCGCUGCUCACGCACCGCAUUGACCUCCUUGCCCAAUCCCCUCGUGCCGCACCAGCUGAAACUUAGCCCCUUUCCCCGAUCCCCACAGCAGCCGCACCCUCUCCUCGCUUGCAGCCGCCUCCUCUCCUUUCCCCCACGCCGCCGGCCUUGUCUUUUCAUUUCUUAUGUGAAAUAAAUCAUCAGUGGCAUUCUUGGUUUCCCAUAUUGUUUUUGGUUAUAGAUUUAAAGUGACCUUUUCUGUUUUUUGCAAACCAGAGGGGUUGUUCCAAUUAUAAAUGUAUUGCAACUUCUUUUGGCUGCUAUAAAAUGCUUGGUUGCUCAAUAUAGUAGAUGCAUGUGAGACUACACAUUGGUGCAAUAUUAGUUCUUAACUUCAUGAGCAAUGAAUAUAACAUUUUACCGGAGAUCAUACCCACUGACGACACUGUAUGAUACAACAUUGAUUACAAUGGCGUUUGUAGCGCCAUCAUAGGACAGUUUCUCCCGACCUUUAACCUGUGUGUAGAAUGUGGAAACAAUUGAGGAUAGGGUGGCUAUCCCUAUAUGACAGGUCUGACGGUGCAUCUGAAAUUGCCAUGUAGUUGCAUAGCUGUCAAAGAGUAAGCAUGUGAAAGUUGGGUUACCUCUAUAUUUGUUAGAGUUGGAACUUGGUACAGUUUUGCAAAAUAAGAUGAUAGCUCACAUUUUCUGGAUGACCCAAUGCUUCUUUGGUGAAAUUUGAUCAGCCUUACAUAUACAUUUGAAAUGUUAUGCUGUAUACAGUUCAUCAGGUACUGGAAUUUGCCGGACAUUAAUGUUUCCGUUUUUUAUCUGUUUCUUAUUUUCCGAGUCACAUCUCUACAAUGUUUCCAAUGAGGCAAGGACACCUGUUUUCCUCCUUGCAUGCCAAUUAUUUGAGAGACAAAUAAACAUUGUUGUUGGCCUAUGAAUUAUCACAUCAUUCCCCUGAUUCUUUUUAGAUCAUUUUGUUUUAGAGUUUUUGUUUCUUGAAACCUCAAAAUAGUGACUGGCAUCUUGUCCAUGUUGCAUCAUUUUAUACUGACAAUCAGGAGAUAUAGUUGAUCCUUCAUUUCUCUUGGAACCUUAUCCAAACAUUAGAGAAUGAAACUAAAGCUACGUACAGAGAGAAUGUGUAGACUUCUUGCUGGGCAUGAACUCCGGUUCGCCUAUUACGAGUGAGACCACUUCACUUUGCUUCCAAUAUUGUAGAUGGCGGAAGUGGUGCUCUUACAUACAACCGUUAGAGAAGUAUAUGUAGCCAUUUCCUCUGUAGAAAGGAAUGCUAUUUUAGGUGGUUGUGAGUUUUGAACCUUUCAUUGCCGAAGAGAACCGAUGAUCUUCCUUCACAAGUUUAUUUUUACCUAUGUAUUAUGGUCAUGCUCCCAUUGUUUGGGUGAUUUUACCUAGGCUAUGCACGUACAUAUAAUAUUGCCAUGUUCCCCUUAUUCAUGCAUCACCAACAUUGCUGCCAAAUUGAUGUUCUGUUUCUCUAUGCACUGGUGUUAUAGACUGCCAUUUGUUUUGUCGAACAAUUUGUGAAACUGAUUUUCCAUUGCUCUAUGUACUGGUUUUACAGAUUGCUAUUUGUUUUAUCUAGCUUAGUAAUUCAUUUGGUUUACAUCCUCAUGAUAUAGAUAUACACAUGCCCCUUUCCUAUUUUAGCUAUCAUUUGCCAACCUCUUCAUUAUCUGACUAUGCACAUUUGUUCCUAUAUACAAAUGUGAUUGACAUUAUGGUGUUUACAAAACGACAUGUCACCUCAAUGCCAUUUGUGAAGAACAAGUAUGUGGCUCGGGAGGGCCUGGGUUGACGGAUGCUGUCAUCAGGAGUGGCCACAUUGUUGGGUCCUCAACAAUUUUGACUGAAGACUCCUGGACUUUACCAUUGCGAAAUCAUGUGAGCAGAGGUGUUCCAGGAAUCUUUGGGAAGACGUGUGUAUAUAUGCCAUGUGUCCCACUAUCAUUUUUUGUCUUUGUGAGUUGCUGAAAAGAUCUUAGUCAUUUCAACUCAGAUGAAGUUGUUAGGAUGAUUAGGUCGCAGCUUAUGCAAAAUGUACUGUAAUAGAUUCAGAUAAAUUCUGGAGGGGUGAAACCCUUUGAAGUCAUAGCUAACAUGGCUCUAUGUUACUCCAAUAAGGUAACAAACUAUGCAUGUUAAAUAUAUGUUUUCAAA